rnacentral:rRNA from 1 species
AGUACGUGAAACUGCUUAGAGGUUAAGCCCGAUGAACCUGAAUAUCCAUUAUGGAAAAUUCAAUAUUAAGAAUAUAAUAUAAAUAAUAUUAUAAAAAUAGUAUGCAAUUUUUCCAUAUAAGGACAUUGUAAUCUGUUAAUGUUAUAAAUAUUUAUCAAAAGAUCUAAUACUUAAGUUUAUUUAAAUUGUUUAUUUUCGGAUAUUCAACAUAAAAUAAAUGUGUUAGAUUGGAUAAAUCAUUGACAGAUCGAAUUAUAUAUUGUGCAUAAAUUCUUCGGAAUUUUUCAGUAGUAAAUAGAUCUAUUGAUUUGUUUAUUGAUUGCAUGCAUAAUUAUGAUUGACAAUGCGAUAGAUUCAGGAUACCUUCGGGACCCGUCUUGAAACACGGACCAAGGAGUCUAACAUAUGUGCAAGUCAUUGGGUAUUUUUAAUAAAACCCAAUGGCAUAAUUAACUUAACUGUUAUUUAUAAUGAGAUUAAUUUAUAUUUUGUUAUGAUUUAUUUAUUCAAUCUCGGGGCGUUCUAUACAGUUAUGCAUAAUAAUAUUUAUAUUAUUUAUGCCUCUAACUAGAGCGUACCUUGAGC